ACUGAAAAAGAAUAGGUGUGUGUAAUAAUUGACUUUUUAUGAUUUUUUUUAAAAACAUCAUUAUUUGAAUCCAAUUAAGCGUGGUUUGUCUGUUUCGUUCCGUUUUCAAAAAACGAUUUUACAUUACUUUCUAUGGAGGGAUAUUACACAGUUAAGGCUAAGGGACCGUCUUAAAGGUGCAUUCGCCAGAAAUCAUUAUUUCAACAUUUUCUUUCUUGUGCCAACUUCCAUUUAUUUCUCCACAUUUCUAAUUAAAAAAGGUGUUGUUAUUUGAUUAUACUAAAAAAAUAUAAACACAAAUAAGCUAAAUCAUAUAGAGAUAUGAUAUUAUCCAAGAGACAUAUUAGCUCUAAAUCAGUUUUGAACACUGACCUUACUCAGUUCCCCCCUCAUAAAUAGUAUUUUUCCCUCUGCUUUAAUUUCUCAUUCUAAACUGCAUUUUUCCCAAAACUCAUAUCAACUAGAGAUAUACAGAAACGUUUAUGUUCCUUUAUCUGUCCUUGAAAAGGCACGCCUCUCAUUUUCCCCUUUAUAUGCCUUCAUUUUGUAUUUUUUUUUACCUUAUUACACCUCUAAUGCAUAGAUGCAUUUUACAAUAUGUUUCUCUAAAAACGUAUGUGCCUCUAAAAAGAAUUGUAUAUCCAUCUAUGCAAUACCUUUUUGAUAGCUCAUUAUCCAUAUGAGAUGGAGAUCUACAAACAAGUGUGGUGUGUUCCUGUACCUAUCCUCUUAAAGGUACACCAAUAUUCAAAAGUAAAUUCUCUGUAUUUUAUAUUAAAAUAUAUGUAUCAAUACAACUAUAUUACCAAAUAAAGAUACCUUUUAAUGUAACCUUUUUAAUAAUUUCCUAUCAAGAAGACAUCUGAAACCACAUUUAUAUUGAUCACUGAUGUUCCUUUUCCAGAGUAAAGUCUGUGGAUUUGCCAUUUUCAAUUUUGUUAAUUUUAGUAACUUUUGUCCUUCUCUACCGCUAUUUUUAAUAGCUCACAAUCCAUAUGAGCUACAAAUCUACUUGAUUUCAUUUUAAAAUGACAUGUAUUAUUACAACUCUAUUACCUAAUUCACAUGAACUAUUUUUAUUAGCUUCCAAUCCAGAUGACAUGGACCUCGAAACCACUUGCAUUUUGUUCACUUACCCUUCUUGUCACUGACCUUAGAUUUUCCAUUUUUAAUUGCAGGGAAUUUGCAGGAAUGUAUCUUUUUAAACAACUCUUUUUUUUUUUUAAUAGCUCGCUAUCCAUAUUAGCUAGAGAUCUACCAACAAGUAUGGUGUGUUCCUUUAUCACUGUUCUGAAAGGAAAACCUCAGAUUUUUUCCAAAUUCAUAAUAUUGAAUUUAUUUUAAAAUUACACGCAUUAUUACAAGUCCAUUACCUAAUUCAAAUGAACUAUUUUUAAUAGCCUCCAUUCCAGAUGGCAUGGACAUCCUAAAACCACUUGCUUUUGUUUACUGAGUACGCCUCUUAGUUUGCCAUUUAAAAUUUCAGUGAUUUUAUCAGAAUUGAUCCUUCAACACAAUCCUUUUUUAAUAGCUCACUAUCCUUAUUAGCUAGAGAUCUACAAAUAAGUAUGGUGUGUUCUUUUCCCUCUACUUUCACAGGGGUGUCAAACCAGUUCUACGGAGGGCCGAUUGUCUGCAGGUUUUCACUGACAUUUACUUGAUUAAUUAAGUCACUAAUAGGUUAGUUUCUACCAUGGCCGUGGGUUCCAGCCCCGGUAAUGCCACUGUUGAUUGUGGCUGGGGUGUCCAGUAGGUUGGUGCAUAUUGGGCUGGUGUCGCCUUGGGGGAGGUAUUUCCUCUGUGGCACCAGUUUGACAUCGCUGCUUUAGUGUAUUCAGAAAAUGCGUUCACUGAAACAAUUUAUUUAAUUUAAUCCAUUUAUUUGCCUAGUUGGAGCCAAUGAUCACAGUUCCUCUUACUCUGUGGACCUACUUGCAAUGAUUACUCCAGCGGUUAUUGCAAUAUAUUGAUGGAAUUAAUAAAUAAUAAAACACAAUUAGUAAACAUUCCUCACCUACAAAUUAUUUUCUUGUUGCUGCUUUUGUUUAUAUUUGAUUGUCACAUUUGAUUUAGUGGUUAUAAAUGUGAAACUCCACUCUAGCCGUGGGUUCGAGCCCCGGUCAUGCCACUGUCGAUUGUGUCCGGUAGGGUGGUGCAUAUUGGGCUGGUGUCGCCUUGGGGGAGGUAAUCGGCUUAGAGGAUUUCCUUGUGCCACCACGUUCUGCAACGUCUCUGGCGGCACAGGUGACUUUGACCUGGCCAUGCAUAUGAGUUCAGAAUGGGAGUAUGCUGUCACAAUUGAAGGAAGGCAGGACACGAGGAGCAGAGGUAUAUCAGGGUAAAAUCCUUUUAAUUGUAACAACAAAACAAAAGGAGAGGCAAACCGAGAUGGAAAAUAUAAGGCACUGUUGACAAGGAAGGUAAGUGAACAAAAUGCAAGUGAUUUUAGAUGUCCAUGUCUUCUGGAUUGGAAGAAAAUGUGAAAUAGGUAGAAGAGUUGUAAUUAUGUGUGUAAUUUUUAAAUAAAUUCCAGGUUAUUAAUUUGGAAAGUAUCAGAGGAAUACCUUUCAGAAGAGAGGUAAAGGAUCUCUAGCUCUUAGGGAUAGUGAACUAUUAAAAAAGCUCACAUUCCUGUUAAUUCACUGUAAUCGAAAAUGUCUAAACUAAGGGGUGUACUCUUGACAAGGAUGGUCAGUGAACAAAAUGCGAGUGGUUUUAGAGGUCCAUGUCAUCUGGAUUUGAAACUAUUAAAAAUAGUUAAAAGUUAUGUAAUGAGUAUAAAAUGAAAUACAGAUAAUGAGUAUUGAUAAAAGAGGUGUACCAUUCAGAAGAGAGGUAAAGGAACAGCCCACACUUGUUUGUAGGUCUCUAGCUUAUGUGGAUAUUGAGCUAUUCAGAAUGUAAUUCUGAUAUAAUCACUGAAGUCUAAAAGGGCAAAUCUAAAAGUCAGUGACCAACAUACAAGUGGUUGUAGGUGUACAUGUCACCCAGAGUACCGGAUUACAAGUAACGGAUUACAAAUAAACAGUAACUGUAAUCCGUUAUGUGAUCAACAUAAAUAUUGUAAUCGGAUUACAUAUACUUUUGAAAAUAUGUGUAAUCCGUUAUGUGAUCAACAUAAAUAUUGUAAUCGGAUUACAUAUACUUUUGAAAAUAUGUAUGAUUACUUUUGGAUUACUUCAGUUGAAAAAGAA